rnacentral:rRNA from 1 species
UACAGAGGGUGCAAGCGUUGUUCGGAAUUAUUGGGCGUAAAGCGCGUGUAGGCGGCCUUGCAAGUCGGGUGUGAAAGCCCUCAGCUCAACUGAGGAAGCGCGCCCGAAACUGCAGAGCUUGAGUACCGGAGAGGAUGGCGGAAUUCCCCAAGUAGAGGUGAAAUUCGUAGAUAUGGGGAGGAACACCGGUGGCGAAGGCGGCAUCCUGGACCAAUACUGACGCUGAGGAGCGAAAGCCAGGGGAGCAAACGGG